rnacentral:tRNA from 1 species
GGAAGCGUGGCCGAGUGGUUUAAGGUACUGGUCUUGAAAACCAGAGAUGGGAAACUAUCCGUGAGUUCGAAUCUCACCGCUUCCG